rnacentral:rRNA from 1 species
GACGAACGCUGGCGGCGUGCUUAACACAUGCAAGUCGAACGGAAAGGCCCUGCUUUUGUGGGGUGCUCGAGUGGCGAACGGGUGAGUACCACGUGAGUAACCUGCCCUUGACUUUGGGAUAACUUCAGGAAACUGGGGCUAAUACCGGAUAGGAGCUCCUGCUGCAUGGUGGGGGUUGGAAAGUUUCGGCGGUUGGGGAUGGACUCGCGGCUUAUCAGCUUGUUGGUGGGGUAGUGGCUUACCAAGGCUUUGACGGGUAGCCGGCCUGAGAGGGUGACCGGCCACAUUGGGACUGAGGUACGGCCCAGACUCCUACGGGAGGCAGCAGUGGGGAAUAUUGCACAAUGGGCGGAAGCCUGAUGCAGCAACGCCGCGUGCGGGAUGACGGCAUUCGGGUUGUAAACCGCUUUCGCCUGUGACGAAGCGUGAGUGACGGUAAUGGGUAAAGAAGCACCGGCUAACUACGUG